rnacentral:rRNA from 1 species
GAUGAACGCUGGCGGCGUGCCUAAUACAUGCAAGUCGAGCGAACGGACGAGAAGCUUGCUUCUCUGAUGUUAGCGGCGGACGGGGGAGUAACACGUGGAUAACCUACCUAUAAGACUGGGAUAACUUCGGGAAACCGGAGCUAAUACCGGAUAAUAUUUUGAACCGCAUGGUUCAAAAGUGAAAGACGGUCUUGCUGUCCCUUAUAGAUGGAUCCGCGCUGCAUUAGCUAGUUGGUAAGGUAACGGCUUACCAAGGCAACGAUGCAUAGCCGACCUGAGAGGGUGAUCGGCCACACUGGAACUGAGACACGGUCCAGACUCCUACGGGAGGCAGCAGUAGGGAAUCUUCCGCAAUGGGCGAAAGCCUGACGGAGCAACGCCGCGUGAGUGAUGAAGGUCUUCGGAUCGUAAAACUCUGUUAUUAGGGAAGAACAUAUGUGUAAGUAACUGUGCACAUCUUGACGGUACCUAAUCAGAAAGCCACGGCUAACUACGUG